CUGUCUCUGGGUCAAUCUCAUGCAUGUUAAUAUAUAAUUAAUUGUAUUUUUUUUCAAGAGUCAUCUAAACUAGCUACCUUAUGCUAUGUUUUUUUUUACAAUCAUGUUAAGGCCCAGUUUUGCAUGUGAGAUGUAGUGAGCAAAUUUAAAAGUGAAUGGUUAUCCUGACUCCAACAAAACAUUCUCAUAUUCGUACAUACUAUAUCUAACUGCAAUUUUUUGUUUAACAUUCCUCCACAGGACUCGAAUGGAGGUACUCAUAUGGGGCUUAUUUCUCAGUCAUUGGUCCGUGGACGUGGACCAUUAGGACUAAACCUGACGAAAAGCCCCGCCGUUUUGGCGGCGAUUCAAAACGAGCUCAAUCGACCAAAAGUAAUGC
rnacentral:lncRNA from 1 species